rnacentral:rRNA from 1 species
UUCCGGUUGAUCCUGCCGGACCUGACUGCUAUCGGAUUGAUACUAAGCCAUGCUAGUCUUUGUAGUAAUACAAGGCAUACGGCUCAGUAACGCGUAGUCAACCUACCCUAUGGACGGGGAUAAUCUCGGGAAACUGAGCAUAAUACCCGGCAGACCACUUAUCCUGGAAUGGUUAGUGGUUAAAAUGAUUCGUCGCCAUAGGAUGGGACUGCGGCCUAUCAGCUUGUUGGUGAGGUAAUGGCCCACCAAGGCGAUUACAGGUACGGGCUCUGAGAGGAGAGGCCCGGAGAUGGGUACUGAGACAAGGACCCAGGCCCUAUGGGGCGCAGCAGGCGAGAAAACUUUGCAAUGUGCGAAAGCACGACAAGGUUAAUCCGAGUGAUUUCUGCUAAAGGAAUCUUUUGUUAGUUCUAAAAAUACUAGUGAAUAAGGGGUGGGCAAGUUCUGGUGUCAGCCGCCGCGGUAAAACCAGCACCUCAAGUGGUCAGGAGGAUUAUUGGGCCUAAAGCAUCCGUAGCCUGUUCUAUAAGUUUGCGGUUAAAUCUAUACGCUCAACGUAUAGGCUGCCGUAAAUACUGUAGAACUAGGGAGUGGGAGAGGUAGACGGUACUCGAUAGGAAGGGGUAAAAUCCUUUGAUCUAUUGAUGACCACCUGUGGCGAAGGCGGUCUACCAGAACACGUUCGACGGUGAGGGAUGAAAGCUGGGGGAGCAAACCGGAUUAGAUACCCGGGUAGUCCUAGGUGUAAACGCUGUGGACUUGAUGUUGGGAGUGCUCCGAGCACCCUCAGUGUCGAAGCGAAGGUGAUAAGUCCACUGCCUGGGGAGUACGGUCGCAAGGCUGAAACUUAAAGGAAUUGGCGGGGGAGCACUGCAACCUGAGGAUUGUGCGGUUUAAUUGGAUUCAACGCCGGG